GCAUUGGUGGUUCAGUGGUAGAAUUUUCGCCUGCCACGUGGGUUCACCCGGGUUCGAUUCCCGACCAAUGCA